rnacentral:rRNA from 1 species
AUGCCCAUGACCACCGACGGCUACUCAGAGAAGGAGCGGGUGCAGGUGUCACUCAUCCAGCGGUUCCUCGCAGGGGGGUUUAGCCUCAGCGGCGAACACCACCACCUGACCCAGCAGUCGUUGCCGUCAUGCUGCGCGGUGGACUCGUACAUCGUUGACACCAUGAAGGAUCUCCAUCAGCUGCAACGACGACUACAUAUAGUGAAUGAUGAGGAUGUUAAAGAAUAUCGAGUCAUAGAUAUAGCAUUAGAAAGGAGAUACGAAUGGUGCAUAUACUGA